UGCUGUUAUCUCAAUAUUCACGGCAGUGAAUAAAUGGAAUCAUUGGCUGAGAACACGUCAUGUCCGAUACGAUAGGUGGCGCUGUUUUCAUUACAACUAGUUGUGAUGCAGCCAUUUCCGCUUGACCUCUUCACCACGACCAACAACAACAACAACAACAACAUCAACGUCAGGAGAAAGACGGCGAGCGGAGAGCGAGGUGAAGCUACGUCCCUCGACUAUGUGUGCGUGAUGCUAACAGCAGCGCGGCGAAUGCGAAUGGCGCUAUUGGCUGAUUCGAUAACGGAGAGAAGACGCCGUCGCCGAAGCUUGUGGAGCAUCAGCUGUAAGAUGCCUGGGUGAGCUCAUGACGCUAACGUGCUCAGCCAGACACGCCUGUUAGCAGAAGAACCGAGAGAAAUCGCUCACUUCCUGUUGGGAAGCUGUGGAUCCCAACUGGUCAGUGGAAGCGGCCACACUGGCAUCGAACCUGCCACAGCCAGGUGGUCGUGGCAACAACCGUGGACAGAGGAUCAGAGCCGCCCUCAGAUUACCUGAGUGCAAACCUGCCCCGCGCAGACCUUUAGACGUCUUCAGGACACAACUGCCAGCUGGUCAUAGGUUAGUGGGAAGAUCUACACGUUUCUCAAAGGCUAAGGGCUAGCUAGCAAGUGGCACCCAUGUUAGCUAUGAAAGCUACGGUUAUCAAGUGGGACCCGGGUUAGCCUUACGUUUUAUCAUUGUUACAUUGUUUUCAUCGUCGAUUUAAUUCCUCGCUAGUUAUGGGAAGGUACACAUGUUUCAACACAUAUUAGCACUGCUAACACGUCUCACAAACAGCAUCAGCUAGCAUCUGGUACCUAGCACUUGUUUUAGUGUGAUGCAACUGAAAUGAACUUACCC